rnacentral:rRNA from 1 species
CCUACGGGUGGCAGCAGUGAGGAAUAUUGGUCAAUGGGCGGAAGCCUGAACCAGCCAAGUCGCGUGAGGGAAUAAGGCCCUACGGGUCGUAAACCUCUUUUGCCGGGGAGCAAGGGCGGGGACGUGUCCCGGCCCGGAGAGUACCCGGAGAAAAAGCAUCGGCUAACUCCGUGCCAGCAGCCGCGGUAAUACGGAGGAUGCGAGCGUUAUCCGGAUUUAUUGGGUUUAAAGGGUGUGUAGGCGGGCUUUUAAGUCAGCGGUAAAAAUUCGGGGCUCAACCCCGUCCGGCCGUUGAAACUGGGGGCCUUGAGUGGGCGAGAAGAAGGCGGAAUGCGUGGUGUAGCGGUGAAAUGCAUAGAUAUCACGCAGAACCCCGAUUGCGAAGGCAGCAUACCGGCUCCACACUGACGCUGAGGCACGAAAGCGUGGGUAUCGAACAGGAUUAGAUACCCUAGUAGUC